AACUGAUAGAGAGUAAAAUUUUACGUCUCUGUAGUAUAGUUACAUAAUUUAAAACGGCAAUGCACGAACAAGACAACAAUAUACAAACGGGACUAUGUUUUAAAUAUUAGAACACUUUAGGGAAAAAACGACCAUGAAUUAUUUUAGAUUAAAGUUUAGACCUUGAAUCCUAGUGAAAGAUACAGGCGUAAAAUUGCGCGAGAA